UAUAUCAAUGCUUCUAUAAACAUAUAUAUUGAUUAGUAUGCCAGACAAAAAAGACGAUCAUUGAAUAACAUCAAUUCAGCUGCGUAAAUACAUGAACGGCUGUAUUUCACAAAAAUAGACAGAACGAAAAUCUAAAACAUCAUACCAAUUUAACAGCUUCAAAAACCAAUAUCAUACAGUUAGGAGGAACUAUGGCCAAAAACACUUGUGACGAAUCCCAGACAGCAGUAAAGAAACUAGUCAGCAUCCACCGAGGUGAUAUCUUUAUUCACAAUCUUUGCUAUAUGCUCUUUCAUUCCAUCAUUAAUUGGCCCAUCUAGUGACCUCUCAGCAAGUUCAUAAAACGUUGCAUUACCUUCUGGACCAUUAACUCUCUCUUUGUGCAAGUAUCUUUGUUGAACAAUUGCUUCCAAUGCUAGUUUGAGAUUUCCAUAAACAGGAUGACUUUCAUCAGUUUCAGACAAUCCCAGUCGUCUCAAAUGAUGCCAAAGAUUUUCUUCAUUAAUUUUGCCUCCAGCAAGACGAACAAUGCUAGUAACGACAAAAGUAAGAGCGUUGACGUGUGAUCUAUUUUCAUCUUCCACAAAUGCCUUGUAUACAUCUGCAGGUAGCUGACUUCUGAGAAUAUAUGACUUUGCAUCAGCUGCCACUUGCUGAGAUGAACGAGGGUUUUGAGGAGCGGAAGAGCGAGAGCGUUGAAGUUCCCUCAUUUCAAAGCCAAAAAUAGAGGAAAGUUUGGAUUUUGCCUCAUUUAUGACAAAAGCAGGGAGAUUUCUUUGACGAUAAUUUUUGCCGGUGAUCAAUUGGGUUAGCUCCUCCCUCUUUACAGGGCAACUUGAACUCUGUUCACUCUUGAAUAAUACAUACCGAAUCACCUCUGCUACAAGCUUGUCUUUCUCCUCAACAGAAAUACCAAAUUGAGAAAAAUCUUCCCCAGAACUAGACAUACUGGAUUACUAGAACUUCGCCAAAGAGGAGAGGAAUGGAGAUGUGAGGGUCUCGAUGUUGUUGUUGUCGUCUUCGAUAGGGUUCGCCGGUCCUUACCUUCGCCGGAGUUGGCUGCUCGACGCUCGCUGGUCACAGCAGCUGGCCCCGCUGUUUGUUGUUGUCGUCGUCACUGGAGCGGAGGAGAAGAGAUAAAGAGGUUCGCCAGUCGGAGCUGGUCCUCGCGCUGCCUCUGGCCGGAGCGGCCUGCACUUUCUGGCGUGAAGAACGUAAAAGAGGCGGCGCUCGGUUGCCGGCUGGUUUUCGCGGCUGCUCG
rnacentral:misc_RNA from 1 species